UGGGUUGUGGCUCAAUGGUAGAGUGCUUGCCUACCAUACAUGAGGCACUGGGUUCAAUUCUUAGCACCACAU
rfam:Ictidomys tridecemlineatus contig051991, whole genome shotgun sequence.